rnacentral:tRNA from 1 species
GUGGCCACAGCGGGAUGACGGGGCCGACGAUGUGACCAUCGUCGCUGGUCGUUGUCGGUGUCGAUGCUGCUCGGGCGCCUUCUAAUCUCUAGGUCGUAGGUUCGAGUCCUACCGGGGGCACCA